rnacentral:piRNA from 1 species
GUUCAAGGUCACAUAGUG